CCUACGGGAGGCAGCAGUGGGGAAUAUUGGGCAAUGGGCGAAAGCCUGACCCAGCAAUGCCGCGUGAAUGAAGAAGGUCUUAGGAUUGUAAAAUUCUGUCCUAUGGGAAGAAAAAAAUGACGGUACCAUAGGAGGAAGCCCCGGCUAACUACGUGCCCGCAGCCGCGGUAAUACGUAGGGGGCGAGCGGUGUCCGGAAUUACUGGGCGUAAAGAGAGCGUAGGCGGCAAUAUAAGUCUCAUGUGAAAUACCCGUGCGUAACUUGGGGGUUGCAUGGGAAACUGUAGAGAUUGAAUACAGGAGAGGCAAGCAUAAGUGCUAAUGUAGCAGGGAAAGGCAUAGAUAGUAGGAGGUACGACAGGGGCGAUGGCGGCUAGCAGGACUGAAACAGACGCUGAGGCUCGAAAGCGUGGGGAGCAAACAGGAUUAGAUACCCCUGUAGUC
rnacentral:rRNA from 1 species